UACGAAGGGGCUAGCGUUGCUCGGAAUACUGGGCGUAAAGGGCGCGUAGGCGGAUAGUUUAGUCAGAGGUAAAAGCCCAGGGCUCAACCUUGGAACUGCCUUUGAUACUGGCUAUCUUGAGUUCGGGAGAGGUGAGUGGAAUGCCGAGUGUAGAGGUGAAAUUCGUAGAUAUUCGGCGGAACACCAGUGGCGAAGGCGACUCACUGGCCCGAUACUGACGCUGAGGCGCGAA
rnacentral:rRNA from 1 species